rnacentral:lncRNA from 1 species
UCCUCGGCCACCUUCAUCAUCAGCUCGAAUCGAAAAGGUAUAAUAUCAUGCCUAAAUAGUUUCGAUUACUUUAUUUCACAUUGUCUACAUGAAUGGUUUUGAAUUUUUUCUUAAAGGACUUUAUUACAUUAUUAUUUAAUUUUCAUGGGUUUAAAUUUAUAUAAUUUCAAACCCUCGUGGUUGAUAUUUAAUAUUUGUAAAAGAGUAGUUACGUAAUUCAUUUAGGAAGGUAAUAUGUCACGAUCCACUUGGAAAUAUGCAUUUGAUUGAUUGAUAAAACCAUAUGCAGCGGCAAUAAACACGGUAAACCUACUUAAUAAACAAGAAUCACAUGUUUAUUAAACAAAGGACGAUUCAAGGUUUAACUACUACUUUUCUCGGCGGAAGCGGAAGGGUUUUUUCUCUUGAGAGGCGAAUUAAGGUUUUCAUAACCCUUAAGCUUUUGGCGUCCAUCGCCGUCUCCCUUUCACUGAACCUUCAUCCGACAACAGUACCAUCGUCAUCCCUAUCACGACUACACAAUCAAGGUAAGUCUAGGGUUUCAGCGAUCCCUAGGCGUUUUCGUUAGGGAUCGAUCUCUGCAUCGCUGCGUCGCUCUCCUCCCCUUACUCAUCAUCACAUUCGCUCACCCGACACCUCCCUCCUCUCCUCCCGUCGAUCACCAUGGCGAGCACUCCAACAGCUGUUGCGGAGACAACAAUGCAACGAUAGCUUGAUGCACUGCAGCUAACAGAGGCGGAGAACGAAAGCCCCUCCAAACAGAUGAAGAGUAUCGAUGAAAACUCAAUAAACCUGGCAACGGCAGGCCUGAACAACAGGUCCUGCUCCGAGGAGUGAUCUGCCGGCGAAAACUCACUCGAGGUAUCGGCCUCUUUGAGUGUUUGAAGUUUUUGGGUGUCCCCAAUUCGGGCUUCACCGAUCGUUUAUUGUUUUCUUAGUUUUGGAUGUUUCUUUUUGCUUGAACAACAAUUAUUUCUUAUUUGCUUUCACUUUGCUGUCGGGUAGAGCUUAGUGUAUGUGAUGUUAACCCGUGUUCAUGGAUUUCUAAAAAAGGGGUGAUGGGAAACACAAAAGUAGUAGCUCAAACUACUCUUUUGUGAGAUCGGGCUUCACCUGUUAUGAAUUGUAAUUCUUCUUGAGAUCGUUUGACAGAUUGAAUAUCAUUUGACUAAAAAUAUAAUAAUAUAAAUGGAGCAAUUUCGAAAAAAAAACUACUACUUUCCUAUAAAAAAAGAUUUAACUACCCACUGUGUUAGGUAACCCAA